UCCGCCAUCUUUGGGGCGGGCGGCGCUGAGGGAAGGAGGCGGCCGUGGUUUCCCUUUUUUCCCCUCCGGAGCUCACGUUUUUCGCUUCGCGCAGAUCCGCGGCGCUCCUCCCCGUGUUUCAGGCUGAGGGGCGGCUGGGGAUGGCGCUGCCCCGGCUGCUGGUGCGAGCGCUGCACCGGGCGGCCGCUGCCGCCGCACCUGCGGCUCCAGACUUCAACAGUUUUGUCACUCGGACCAACACAUGUGGAGAGCUGCGUGCUGCUCACGUGGGACAGAAGGUGACCCUGUAUGGAUGGGUUCAAUAUCAAAGACAAGGCCUGUUUCUGGUUUUGAGGGAUUUCCAGGGACUCACCCAGGUCAUCAUUCCUCAGGAUGAGGCACAUUCCCACGUGAAGGAGCUGCUGUCCAAUGCCCCACUGGAGUCUGUGGUCAGAGUCACUGGGACAGUGUCCCCCCGGCCCCAGGGGCAGGAGAAUCCGAAGAUGCCAACAGGGGAUAUUGAAGUGAAGGCAGAGACUGCAGAGAUCCUAAACUCCUGCAAGAAGCUGCCUUUUGAAAUCAAGGAUUUUAUCAAGAAGUCGGAGGCGCUGCGGAUGCAGUAUCGGUACCUGGACCUGCGCAGCUCCCGGCUGCAGUGGGCGCUGCGGCUGCGCUCCCGCGUGGUGAUGAGGAUGCGCGAGUACCUCUGCAACCUGCACGGGUUCGUGGAUGUAGAAACUCCAACUCUGUUUAAAAGAACCCCAGGGGGAGCCAAAGAAUUCCUUGUGCCCUCGAGGGAAGCAGGCAAGUUCUACUCUCUGCCACAGAGUCCUCAGCAGUUCAAGCAGCUCCUCAUGGUUGGAGGCCUGGACAGGUACUUCCAGGUCGCUCGCUGCUACCGGGACGAGGGGUCACGGCCUGACAGGCAGCCAGAAUUCACCCAGAUAGAUAUAGAGAUGUCAUUUAUAGAUCAAGCUGGGAUCCAGAGGCUCAUAGAGGGCCUCCUGCAACAUUCCUGGCCUGAGGAAAGAGGCUCCAUUGUGACUCCUUUCCCUUCCAUGACAUAUGAGGAGGCACUGGCUGAAUAUGGGACUGAUAAACCAGACACUCGCUUUGGGAUGAAGAUCGUGGAUGUCAGUGAGGUUUUACGAAGAUCAAACAUUCAUUUUGUGCAGAAUGCCCUCAGUUACCCACAUGGCUCCAUCAGAGCCAUUUGUAUCCCUCAGGGAGUGAGGUAUCUCACAAAUAAAGACUUGGGAUCAUUGAAGGAGUCUGCAAAAUCCCAGUUUAACCAGGAAAUCAUGGAAAUUAUCUGCAGACCUGAUGGAAGCUUGAAAUCUCUGCUUACCAAGUUCCUCAGUGAGAAGGAGCAGUCAGAGCUCAUCCAAGCACUGAACAUGCAGGAGGGUGAUGUGGUGCUGCUGGCAGCUGGAGAGCACAAGCAAGUGUGCUCUGCCUUAGGAGCCUUGCGCUUGUUGAGUGCCAACCUCCUGGAGGCAGCUGGGCUGGCACUCCGUGAUCCCACAGCCUUCCACUUCCUCUGGGUGGUGGAUUUCCCCCUCUUCCUCCCCAAGGCUGAGAAUCCCACUGAGCUGGAAUCUGCUCAUCACCCCUUCACUGCCCCUCAUCCUUCAGAUGUCAGCCUCCUGUAUUCUGAUCCCACAAAGGUCCGUAGCCAGCACUACGACCUUGUGCUGAAUGGCAGUGAGGUUGGAGGUGGCUCCAUCAGAAUUCACAGUGCAGAGCAGCAGCGUUUUGUGCUGGAGAAAGUGCUGAAGGAGGACUCUGAGGUGCUUUCCCAUCUGAUUGAGGCUUUGGAAUUUGGAGCUCCACCUCAUGGAGGAAUUGCUUUAGGACUUGACAGGCUGAUCUCUCUCAUUGUUGACGCUCCAAGUAUCCGGGACGUCAUUGCCUUUCCAAAAUCCUUCAGGGGACGAGACCUGAUGGGCAAUGCUCCAGACUAUGUCACUCCAGAAGAGCUGGAGCCAUAUCACAUUCAGGUUUCCUGGCCUCUUGAGGAGAAAGAAGCAAAGAAAAACUGACUUCACACCAGUGGUGUAAGCUGAUCUGAUCAGCCAGAGGUGGUUACAGCUUCUAAAGGCCAGGAUUCAGUGCAGGAAAUAUCAGCUGCUGUGGCUGGGUGGGGACAGUCCAACUCCACUGGGCUGGAUGGAGUGGGAGGUAGAUAAGAGAUCUUCCUGAUAGGAAUUCAUCUUUGGGAGGUAAUGGGAAGGACAUGCCAAAAAGCAAUAGCAAAGAAUAUAAUUUUAGCAUAGGAUAUUGAGACUGUUUGCUUUAGUGUGUCAUAUUGGAAGGAAGAUGGGUUCUGGUUUUUCCCAACUCUCAAAUUCUACAUUUUACAUUUACAUGUCUGAGCUGCUGCUGUCCUGCCACAGUUAGGUUAAAUGUUAAAAGGUGUGUCCCAAAUUCAGGAAAUCCAUUUGUGAUUGGAUUGGUGAAUGAAGGUGGCUCCCAAGAACUCCAGAAGAGCUGGAGCCAUAUCACAUUCAGGUUUCCUGGCCUCUUGAAGAAAAAGAGACAAAGAAAAACUGACUUCACACCAGUGGUCAAGCUGUCAGUUUGGCUUUGUGACCCCUGGCCCUUCCAGGAGAUGACAAGAAAUCUGUGGGAGCACAGCAUGAGCUCCUGUGAGCUCUGCAAACCUGCUGCUGCAGUGGUGGUGAGGCAGCAGCAAUUUCCUCCCAGGGAACUGAUCAUCCCUGUCCCACACCAGAACAUCCACAGUGACUGUUGUGAGGAGAGGUGGAGGUGAAGAAACAAGAAAAGAGUUUCCUUGAUGAAGCUGGUGCAAAGGAAGAAGAGGGAGAGCUCCUGUGUCCCAGCUGGGAAGGACAGCACGAGGCACAUGCCAGAGGAGGUGCUGGAGGACAGAAGGAAGAUUUCAGUUCUUGUCUGAGCUGAUACUGAACUCCAGCCUGUCCUGCAGAUUGUCACAUCCUGGUCUGCCCCAAGGCUUGGCCACUCUCUCAGUCUCCACAUCAUGGGGUAACACUACAUGGUGGUGUUCACAGUUAUUAUUUAAAUACUGAGCUGUCCUGCUGAUGAGAAUCAGUAAUGCAGGCAGCUCCUCUCCUUAAGGGUGGUUUUUGGGUUUUUUUGAAUACCAUCCAUAGAAAGUGGCACUAGAGCUGACUUGCUGCUGCUUUGCAGAUUAUAAAAUGAUGGAGUUACAUGUGUAAAAUGAAAAUACUUUCUUUAUUUCUGGCAUGAUUGUUAUUUCAGUCUCAGAGCUGGUUAAAUAUUACUUUAAACAAAACAGAACAAUCCUGGAUUUGUAUUCACAUUUAUUUUAGCCAAACACUGAAUUCCUUCAUUUUUUCUUCAUAUGGGGUAUUCAUUUCUAUUUGAAAUCAAUUCAUCUAGACUUAACCUUUUUUUUUUUUCUUUCUUUGAGCAGAAGCUGUCAGUAAUGGAGUGAGGAUCAGUUUUCAGAGAGAAGCUGACCUGAAAAACAGAUCCCUAAGCAGAUUCAAUUGAAACUUUAUGAUCUUUGUGGGUCCUGUCCAGCUGAGGACAUCCUGUGACUUCAAAAACAAUUAUUUAAUUUUUGUUGUUGCUUUUGCAGGGAGGAGAGUCACCCUGGGGCAGUUAGAGCAGAUAUUUUUGUUCUCCUGCCUUGUCAGUGGUGAUGCAAAGUGCAGCCACUGCAGGCUAUGUGUUGUAUUCAGACUGCUGCUUUAUGGGAUGCUGGAUUUUCUGAUUUCGUUUCUUCACUGGUACUGUGAUUAAGAUUUGCAUGGAAUUUGCUUGAGGAUCAUCUGUGUUCCCAAAGCAGGGAUGUCAUAGGCUUGUUUGAGGUCAUGGAAAUAAGUUACUCUCAAAAGUUCUUCACUCCCCCAGGCUAUUUAUUUAUAGUAACUGUAAACAAAAUGUGCUGAACUUUGCUUUUUAAUUGUGAAAUCAGGAGUAGCAUAUUGCUUGCUUAGCACCUGCUUGCAAAGGCAAAUGCUGUUUACCUCUGCUGAGUCCCAAAUCAGGAUUAUCAAGUGUUCAAGGGGAAGCUGGUGCUCUGGGAGGCUCAGGCAGAAAUGUAACCCUGCCUGGAACAUUCUUUUUGAGAGCACUUGUUAAAACAUGUGAGUGAGCUGUCUCCCAGCCAUACACAUCCCUGUUGUGCGAGCAGCUUUGGCUGCUGGUUGUUUACCCACUGCUAAAUGAGGGAAUCACUGCAGGUAGAAAUCAAAAGUGCAGCCAAACACCUUGUCUGAGCUGCUACUGCCCUGCCACAAUUAGGUUAAAUGUUAAAAGGUGUGUCCCAAAUGCAGGAAAGCCAUUUGUGAUUGGAUUGGGGAAUGAAGGAGGCUCCCAAGGCUCUCCAAGUGUGAGUUUGCCAGGCUGUGUGCACAGAAGAUGCUAAUUCUUUGUUGUUGUUUUAAGAUGCUACUUUUUGUUUUGUUUUGUUUUAUGGAGCAUUGUAUAAGAUUGUGCUUGGGCUUGUGCAAGCCAAAUCUACAGAAAAUCCCUGAAACCACAAUCUGCUUGGCACACUGCAUGUUUUGGUAGGAGCAAGAGUAGACAGGUACUACAAAGAAAUCCAUGGAAAUCAGGGCUGGUUCUCUUGCAGACCAGAAUCUCCUGCUUGCUGGAGAGAAGAUGCCAGCCUGUGAUCCUGAAAAGAGAUGUUGAAACUGUCGCAGACAUUUUUUCACAGAAAUCCUUUCAGAUUUCUGUGUCUUCUGGAGGGCAGAGGCCUCAGAAGAGACUGUAAACAAUUGUUAUCAGCUGCUGUGGGAUGCAAUAGGAUGCACCUACUUUGACCUGUCAUUGGUUCAUGUUCCCAUGUUUAUAAUUAAGGGCCAAUCACAAGGAACAAGCUAGGGACAGAGUCCUUGGACACAACUUUGUUAUAGAUUCUUUCUUUCUAUUCUCAGCCUGGCCGAGCAGCUCUGCAACUUCUCUCUUUAUUCUAUUUAGUAUAGUUACAAUGUAGUAUAUAUCAUAUAUCAAUAAAUCCA